AAAACAUCCAAUCAAAAUACCCAACAGUAAUAAUGUGAAAUCCAGUCAAAACAUCCAAAAAACCAAUAGGAAUAGGCUGCUUAAAAUUAUGGGCAGCAAUCAGAUUAUGACAUUUGCUGGUAUGACAUAUUUUGUAAUCAAUUUAUAAUGUGCAAUGAACAUGCAGAUACGUGACUGGAGUAAAGAAUCUUGAGCAUAAAAUUAUAGAGCAACAAUGUAAAUUUCCCCACAGAAAAUGAAGAAUCCAGGAACAAAAAAAGUUUGAUGAAAAAUGCAUCCUCAAAAAUAAUAAAAGUUAAAUAUUUCACAUCAUACAAAUGUUCCAAA
rnacentral:misc_RNA from 1 species